GAUGAACGCUGACAGAAUGCUUAACACAUGCAAGUCGAUGGGGAAGUGGUGCUUGCACCAUGGUAACCAUGGCGGACGGGUGAGUAACGCGUAAGGAACUUGCCUGCGGGACUGGGAUAACAGCAGGAAACUGCUGAUAAUACCGGAUAAGGUCAUUAAGCUGCAUAGCUUAGUGAUGAAAGGAGACGCCUGCGGAGAGCCUUGCGUCCUAUUAGCUAGUUGGAGGGGUAACGGCCCACCAAGGCGAAGAUAGGUAGCCGGCCUGAGAGGGUGGACGGCCACAAGGGGACUGAGAUACGGCCCUUACUCCUACGGGAGGCAGCAGUGGGGAAUAUUGGACAAUGGGGGCAACCCUGAUCCAGCAAUUCUGUGUGCACGAAGACGGUUUUCGGAUUGUAAAGUGCUUUCAGCAGGGAAGAAGGAAGUGACGGUACCUGCAGAAGAAGCGGCGGCUAAAUACGUG
rnacentral:rRNA from 1 species